rnacentral:rRNA from 1 species
AGCUGAGGAAAAGAAACCAACAGGGAUUGCCUCAGUAACGGCGAGUGAAGCGGCAACAGCUCAAAUUUGAAAUCUGGCCUCUUGGGGUCCGAGUUGUAAUUUGUAGAGGAUGUUUCGGGUACCGCCUCGGUUUAAAUUUCUUGGAACAGAAUGUCAAAGAGGGUGAGAAUCCCGUCUUGGACCGGCGGUAGGGCCUAUGUGAAACUCCUUCGACGAGUCGAGUUGUUUGGGAAUGCAGCUCAAAAUGGGUGGUAAAUUUCAUCUAAAGCUAAAUAUUGGCCAGAGACCGAUAGCGCACAAGUAGAGUGAUCGAAAGAUGAAAAGCACUUUGAAAAGAGAGUUAAACAGUAUGUGAAAUUGUUGAAAGGGAAGCGCUUGCAACCAGACUUGAGCGCGGCGGUUCCCCCUUGCUUCUGCUUGGGUUACUCCGCCGUGUCCAGGCCAACAUCGGUUCUGGGGGUCGGUCAAAGGCUCUGGGAAUGUAUCUACCCACGGGUAGACUUAUAGACCAGGGUGUCAUGCGACCUCCCGGGACCGAGGAACGCGCUUCGGCUCGGAUGUUGGCGUAAUGGUUGUCAGCGACCCGUCUUGAAACACGGA